UGAAGAGCCACUCAGGGGUGGAUACUUCAAUGGAUGCGUUUGAAGCUGGAUCUGGUCAGAUCGCUGGCAUAGUGAGUGGAAUAGGAGUGGCCCUUCUUGGUGCUGCCUCCAUCUACUUUGCCUACCAGAAGAAGAAACUGUGUUUCAAGAUUCAGGGAGGUGUAGACCCAGAAAGUGGAAAGAACGCACAUGGAGCUCAGUCUGAUCCCCAAGUGAUGAGCAACUUGCUCAGGUCAUCUUAACUUCGAUCAGAUCAUCAUAGAGGAACUGCACCUUGAGCAAAGAAACACAUUCUUCCAUCAGCAGGUAUCAACUGUCUGCUGGGGGACUUCAGUGGGCAAAAAAAUACAAUAAAAAAAAUAUAUAUAUAUAUAUAUAUUUUUCAUUUGUCUUUCAUUUGGAAUUUAACAUUUGGAGAAUGUUAGUUAUAUGUUUUCUUGUUUUUUUUGCCUUAUCUAGCUGUGUAAAGACACUUAGAUAGAUUUACAACUUGAAUACAUGUUUUUUGCAGUGAAAAUGUAUUGAUACUUUUCAUUGUAUAUUGUUCAGUACCAAACAAUUGUCUUUCAAUAUGCUGAUGUGAUUUUUCAUCACAUUCAUUACUUUUCAUUUCAUACUUUAGUAGGCCUAGCUAGUAUACAUAACUGCAUUUUACAUUUGACUGUUUACAUUGCACAUAGCUUUUGUUGUAUUUGUUUUACUUUAACUGUCUCCAUGUAUAUUCGAUUCAAUUCUGAUAGGCAGUAGGAUCCCUCGUUUCAUAAAAUGUCAGCGCUUGUUUUAAAAUAUAACCCAGGCGAAUCUGUAGUUACACUAAUCAAAACAAACCAUGCACACAAAUGAUAAUUUUAUAACAUGGCACAUUCAUGUAAUUAUUAACUGGAUUCAAAUUUAAUAGAAGGAUU